GACGAACCGAGCGAACGUUGUUCGGAAUAACUGGGCUUAAAGGGCGCGUAGGCGGGCCGCCAAGUUCGAGGUGAAAUCCUCCGGCUCAACCGGAGAACUGCCUCGAAUACUGGAGGUCUCGAGGGUGGUAGGGGCAUGCGGAACUGUGGGUGGAGCGGUGAAAUGCGCAGAUAUCAGGAGGAACACCAGUGGCGAAGGCGGUGCUCUGGGCCGGAACUGACGCUGAGGAGCGAAAGCGUGGGGAGCAAACAGG
rnacentral:rRNA from 1 species